rnacentral:misc_RNA from 1 species
AACAAACGGUGACGUCAUCAUCCAGCCGCCGUCGACGUGAAUGACAGGUCGCGGGAAUUGUCUGUCUGCUUGCUACCUUUUGAGACUCGUGAGGGAUAUUUCUACGAAGGACAGGUGUAAUUGGCUAUAUAUGAGCCGUAAAGAAAGAUCAGAAGGAAAGGAUCCAAGAGGAUGUAGACAAUAUUAUAGUCUGAAUACGCUAUAAAAAGGGAGAAGAAGAAGAGGUGUCUGUCUUCUGCUGCUGAUAGUUGGGAUGGCCGUGACCUGACAGUGAUUACGCAUCUGUAAGGCGAAGGACGUCGGAAAAUAUGUGUGGACUGCUGUUAAGCUCCCAGUUGGUUCUGUAAUUUUAGCAGUUAGCGACUGAAGCUAAGGGUAUCGUAGUUGCAUUUCAGGACGGGAUAAAUAUAUUGCCUCACUGUAGAUAGACUUUACAGUUAGCAGGGCAGUGAACUAAUGAACAGAUGCAGAGAUAAUUACGGAAAGGAAUAGAGCUCGUCAAGAAGGCCUGCAAAUUAGAAACUAUAAGAACAAAAACCAAAGAUCGCCGCUGCAAAUGGUGUGGCAUAGUAUACAGCUACACAGAGAGCUGGUAUGUAAUGUGCCAUAUAAAAGUGUGCAGAAAGCUUGUUGACACAGGAGAGGCAGCUUGUGCCUUAGAAAGUCUUGUGAUGAGGCAUCACCUUUACCACAAGCUGAUAUGUCUUUUGAAGAAGUGUAUAAAAGAUUUAUUGAAAAUGAAAGGAUGAAAGACCAAAUGAUUCACUCUGUGGAAAAGGCUUUCACUUGCACUGAGUGUGGAAAAAAGUUCGAGCGAGCUGCCACUCUGAAGAAACAUAGAGAGACUCACUCUGCAGAAUACUUAUUUGAGUGUUCUAAGUGUGGGAAAAGGUUUAGGGAAAAUGAUACCCUAGAGAUAC